UUUGAUCAUGGCUCAGAUUGAACGCUGGCGGCAGGCCUAACACAUGCAAGUCGAACGGUAACAGGAAGAAGCUUGCUUCUUUGCUGACGAGUGGCGGACGGGUGAGUAAUGUCUGGGAAACUGCCUGAUGGAGGGGGAUAACUACUGGAAACGGUAGCUAAUACCGCAUAACGUCGCAAGACCAAAGAGGGGGACCUUCGGGCCUCUUGCCAUCGGAUGUGCCCAGAUGGGAUUAGCUUGUUGGUGGGGUAACGGCUCACCAAGGCGACGAUCCCUAGCUGGUCUGAGAGGAUGACCAGCCACACUGGAACUGAGACACGGUCCAGACUCCUACGGGAGGCAGCAGUGGGGAAUAUUGCACAAUGGGCGCAAGCCUGAUGCAGCCAUGCCGCGUGUAUGAAGAAGGCCUUCGGGUUGUAAAGUACUUUCAGCGGGGAGGAAGGGAGUAAAGUUAAUACCUUUGCUCAUUGACGUUACCCGCAGAAGAAGCACCGGCUAACUCCGUGCCAGCAGCCGCGGUAAUACGGAGGGUGCAAGCGUUAAUCGGAAUUACUGGGCGUAAAGCGCACGCAGGCGGUUUGUUAAGUCAGAUGUGAAAUCCCCGGGCUCAACCUGGGAACUGCAUCUGAUACUGGCAAGCUUGAGUCUCGUAGAGGGGGGUAGAAUUCCAGGUGUAGCGGUGAAAUGCGUAGAGAUCUGGAGGAAUACCGGUGGCGAAGGCGGCCCCCUGGACGAAGACUGACGCUCAGGUGCGAAAGCGUGGGGAGCAAACAGGAUUAGAUACCCUGGUAGUCCACGCCGUAAACGAUGUCGACUUGGAGGUUGUGCCCUUGAGGCGUGGCUUCCGGAGCUAACGCGUUAAGUCGACCGCCUGGGGAGUACGGCCGCAAGGUUAAAACUCAAAUGAAUUGACGGGGGCCCGCACAAGCGGUGGAGCAUGUGGUUUAAUUCGAUGCAACGCGAAGAACCUUACCUGGUCUUGACAUCCACGGAAGUUUUCAGAGAUGAGAAUGUGCCUUCGGGAACCGUGAGACAGGUGCUGCAUGGCUGUCGUCAGCUCGUGUUGUGAAAUGUUGGGUUAAGUCCCGCAACGAGCGCAACCCUUAUCCUUUGUUGCCAGCGGUCCGGCCGGGAACUCAAAGGAGACUGCCAGUGAUAAACUGGAGGAAGGUGGGGAUGACGUCAAGUCAUCAUGGCCCUUACGACCAGGGCUACACACGUGCUACAAUGGCGCAUACAAAGAGAAGCGACCUCGCGAGAGCAAGCGGACCUCAUAAAGUGCGUCGUAGUCCGGAUUGGAGUCUGCAACUCGACUCCAUGAAGUCGGAAUCGCUAGUAAUCGUGGAUCAGAAUGCCACGGUGAAUACGUUCCCGGGCCUUGUACACACCGCCCGUCACACCAUGGGAGUGGGUUGCAAAAGAAGUAGGUAGCUUAACCUUCGGGAGGGCGCUUACCACUUUGUGAUUCAUGACUGGGGUGAAGUCGUAACAAGGUAACCGUAGGGGAACCUGCGGUUGGAUCACCUCCUU
rnacentral:rRNA from 1 species